CACCGCCCGUCAAGCCACGAAAGCGGGGAGCAUCCCAAGUCGCCGCGUCAACCGCAAGGAGACAAGCGCCUAAGAUGAGCUCCGUGAUUGGGACU
rnacentral:rRNA from 1 species